AAAUCCUUAUGAAUUUACUCUCUCUCUAAGUUUACUCUUUCUCUCUAACUUUACUCUCUCUCUUCGUGGCACCUGCGCGAAGAGAGAAGGCUUAAUCUCGAUGCCUAAAACCAACCCAGACGCCCUCAGCCCUUUACCGUUGGAGCUCCCCACUUGCUCUGCAACCAGGUAAGUUUCACUUGUUUUAGAUGUCUAGCUGUUUUACAGUAAUAUCGCAAUAAAAUCUUUAGAUUUUUUUACUGUGUAUCUCCAAGAAAACCAACCCUAUCUUGGAUCUGCCAUUUUUGGAACUUUACUGGGGUAGGGUUUUUUUGGUUAUUCCGUGCACGCUCUACAUUUUGUUUGGAUCCGACUAUUUUGAGCGUGAUUUGAUUUUUCUGAAAUAUUUUUUAGGGUUUUGAGGUAAGGAGUUGGAGCGACAUGAAAAUUGUCCAUUAGAAACAAACACGAUUAUAGCUUAUAUUUUUGUUGAAUCAAUUAAUUUCUGUUUCAGAUGUAUCAUAUAUGGGUUUCCAAAGAUGUGGUUCAGGGGUCAAUAGUUUUUCCAUAGUUAAUUUUUAUCGAUAUCUGCACUUUUGAUUCAUAAUUGAGUUAUUUGGGGUCUGCAUGACUACCGUAGGGGAACUAUUUCUAUUUGUUUGGUGGGGAUAGAAUGUAAUUCUCUCAUAUGGCUAUGUAAGUACCAGUUAUAUGGAUGAACUACAAAAAAAGAAUAAGAGAGUAACAGUUUUACAGAUGGGAUUAUACAAGCUUUGUGGUCUGAUAUGAUUAUCUUUUAUCAGAAGUUAUCUGUUAUUGUUCAAAAAGCCAAGCUUGAGAUAUCACAAUGAGCUUGCUAGAUGGAACCAAAAAAUUACUGACAUUUGAUCUUAGGAGGCUUUUACUCUUGUUACUAUUUUCUGGUUGCAUUUUUAUUGACGGUGAAAUUCCAUGCUUUUAUUGACUUUGUACGAUUUGUUUCUGUUUCUACAUAAAUUGAUGGUCAUAAAGGCCCCAACUUGACGCUCUUAUCUAAGAACUAUCCCUUUGAGGGGGAAAAAUGGGCCUCUUGGUACAACCAUUGGUGCUCUCAAUUAUUUGUGUUUGUGUUAGUACAUCGAAACAAAGUACCUAUGGUUGAGCUGAAAUGAAAGCUGAAGAGAAUAGGAUUCAUAUCAAUAUGAUUUUAAUUGUCAAGUUGGGGGCCGCAGAAUUUGGAGAAACAAGAAAAUAUAGAAGAUUUGUGAAAUCUCAGCAUUUCAGAUGGUCACAAAUAAAAGAUAUGGGUGUGCAUGUUAAUUUUGAAAUGUAUUUAAUAUAUUUGGAGAAAUUCAUCCUUUUCUUAAGCCCAAGAAUAUUUCUUUCCAUCUUUUAUGCUCAAGAAUUGCCUAUAAUCUACACAUGGUCUCCUGUGGGUAUCAAGGUUGUCUUCCUAUUGUAAAUUAAUCCACUCAAUAGGUCGAGAACCGAGAUGAUUACCUGCAAAAGUCAAUUGAAACCUCAGGGCAAGUGAUUUGACUUGGCAUUUUCCAAAAUCCAAGACAUGAAUGCCGAUACAAGUUUCCUAUUCAACAUAUAUCUAUUCACCUUACAUGAAAUCAUCAUUGUCAAAGCCCUUUUCCAAGUAAUUGGGUCGGCUGAUUCAACUUACAUGAAAUGAUGAAUACAUAGAUGUUUGGUUUUUAUUUAGAUGUUUAUAUUCAUGUCUUUUUAUACUAAAAGUUAUCUAGAAGUGUCUUUUCUCUAUAUUAGUAUUAUAUUGUUUCGACACCAUGCACUAAGCAUAUACAAGUAUCCAAUAAUGGAACUGCUUAGGGGUUCUUAAAUUGGCAUAUUAUGUUUUUUAAACACCUAUCCUGGCCUAAUCUACCUUUUUUGAAGAAACCGAUCCUUUAGACAUGUUCUAUGAUGAAUAAAAUGCCCACUAACUCUAAAGAAGGGUACAAAGUUUUUUUUUUGAUGACUGUUAACUUAAAAUUAUAAAAGCGAAACACAGUACAUAGUACAUAAAGUUUGAUACAGUUGGCCUCUAAGCUUAGCCCAACCUGUAUCGUGGUCUCUAAGGGGAGGACCAAGAGCAAUCCAGUCACAAGUUGAACUCUACAUUAAAGUAGUUUACAUGGUGGGGCUUAUAGAACUGCCCAUAUACAAAAGCAGUCAAAAGGAUGAAGGGCCUAUAGUUGCCCUUGUACAUAGUCUAUCUAAACUAAGCAUUCUGUGAAGAAGAUUGGUGUGCUGCUCCUUUAGCGAGUGCGUCUGCGGUUGUGUUUGCAGUCCUUUGGGUAUGCUGCCACGUGACAUCUAGGUCCCUGCAUAAGUGGAAUGUGACUCAAAUACCAAGGUGGGUCGCUUUUCUCAGAUCCCUAGGUUAUGAUAUUAUUGGUGUCUCCUUCUAAGAGCAGGAUUCUACCCCACGUAAGGUUAAAAUGUUUGAUUCCAGUUAGAAGGGCCAAAGCUUCUGCUGUUUGUGAGUCUUUUAUUCCUAUGAACUCCGAGAACAAAAGGACUUCAAAGUUUCUAAACACUCCUCCAAUGCCUGCAGGACCAGGGUUACCUAAAGAGCACCCAUCAAAAUUGAGUUUAAUCCGACCUUCUAGGGGAGGGGUCCAUCUUAGAUUGAUUUCACUUUUAUGAUGGUUGAGGAAUAGAAGAUUACUCCAUUCUUGUAGAAAGGAAGAUGCUGAGAUUCCCGUUAACAAUUUAUGGUGGGUUGCCUAAAAAAUAACAGAGUCUGUUAUUUUAUGGAAGAGAGUGAGGGUGGAAUUCUUUUCCCUUUGAAAAGUUCUAGAGUUUCUUUCCUUCCAUGGGUGCCAUAGGGUAGCCGCUAAGGAUGCUUUCUACAGAAUUUUACCUGAUUUUCUCCAUUUGUCCUCGAAAGAUUGGGCUAUCAAAGGCGGAAUGGAAGGUGGAAUCACCCACGUCAAACUAAACAACUGGAUGAGUUUUCUCCAUACAGAAAAGGCAAACUUGUAGUGUAAUAACAUUUUCUUCCUCUUCUAAGCACAUUACACAUUUGUUAGGUAUUUGAAAGCCUCUUUUCUGGAGAUUAUCAAUGGUUAGGGGUUUUCCUAGAGUUGCAAGCCAUUGGAAGAAUUGGGCCCUUGGUGGAGCUAUAGAGUCUCAUGCUUUGCUUGAGAUGUCAGAAUUGUCAUUCCCCUCUACUAGAACCUUAUAAAAAGAUUUAACAGAGAAUCUUCCUGAUGGGGAAGGAGUCCAUAUCAUUGAGGCUUUCCCUGACUGAGCUAGGAAGACUCUAUGCAAUUCCAAGCUUAGAGAAGAGAAGGCAAUAAGUUCGUUCUCAGAUAGCAGCCUUUUAAAGACGACUCCAAGUCCUUCUGCUGCCUGAGUUGGCCAUGACUCCUCUAUUGUGGAUUCUUUGUAAUUAGAAAGUAUGUAAAGUGAGGGGAAUCUGUCUUUGAGUGUUAAGGAGGCUAGCCACUUGUCCUCCCAGAACCUCACUUUACUUCCUCCUCUUGCAUGGAAUCUAAUGUGCUCUCUAAAGCUUGGGAGGAUGGAUCUUAAGGAUUUCCAUAUACUUGACGCUGAUUUCCAUAUCUCUGGCAGCCACUUUGAAGAAGGGAGGUUCUAUUUGCUUUUUAUCACCUGAGCCCAUAAUUGGUUCUCGUGAUAAGCUAGCCUCCACCACCAUUUUCCCAGCAGUGCCAAGUUUUGUUCCCUUAAGUCUCUAAUCCCCAAACCUCCCUUCGUUUUGUGGGUGCAAAUCUUAUUCCAGGUUAAAAGGUGUAUUUUCUUGGUCUCUGCCGAACUAGACCACAAAAAGUUUCUCAUAAGUUGUUCGAUCCUCGUAGCUAUAGUAACUGGAAUCUGAUAUAGCAACAUGAAGAAGAUCGGUGUAUUUGCUAAAGAGGCUUUGAUAAGUGUGCGUCUGCCUGGCAAAGACAGGUAACGCCCUUUCCACCCAGUUAGCCUUCUAUCUAUUCUAUCAACCACUUGGGCCCACAUCUGUUUUUUGGGUCUACCAAGGCCUAGUGGGAGUCGCAGGUAAGUAGUGGGGAGGUCUUCUACUGCGCAUUCCCACCCCAAGAUAAAGCUUCUUGUUUGGGAUGCAUUUAGGCCAACUCCAAUCAUUUUUGACUUAGCCAUAUUGACCUUAAAACCAGUAGCUAUUUCAAAGCAAGCUAGGAAAAUUUUAAGGUUAAGGAUCUCCCUCUCAUUAGCCUCAAGGAAAACUAGCGUGUCACCUGCGUAUUGCAAGUGAGACACUAUUGGGCCUACCCUACUUGCUUUGAAACCAGAUAGUAAUCUAGCCUGGUAUAAUCUGAAAAUGGAUUGACUGAAACCUUCUCCCAUUAUGGUGAAUAGGAAGGGGGAUAAUGGGUCUCCUUGUCUAAGGCCCCUUGAUUCAGGGAAGAAUCCCUUAGGGGAACCAUUGAUGAGGACCGAGAAAAAGGGUCUAGAGUAGCACCCUUUCAUCCACUUUCUCCAUCUCUCUCUAAAACCCAUGCUGUGUAAGGUUUGAUCAAGGAUUGACCAAUCAAUGUGAUUGUAAGCUUUUUCCCAAUCGAUCUUGAAGAUAAGGCCUGGUUUUUUUCUUUUAUGGCAUGAGUGGGUACAUUCAUGGGCUACCAGGACUCCAUCUAGGAUCUGUCUGUUGUUAAUAAAAGCUGACUUGGAUGGGGAGAUAACUAGAUUUAGGACCUAUUUUAAUCUGGAGGCAAGGACUUUUGAGAGGAUUUUGUAGGAAGAAUUAAGGAGGCUAAUAGGUCUAAAGUCCUUAAUGUUCUCUGCUCCUUCAAUUUUGGGUACCAUAACAAGGAAGGUGGCAUUGAUGGCUUUAUUAAGAAUGCCUUUCUCAUAGAAUUCCUCGCAGAAAAGCUUAAAAUCUUCCUUAAACGUGGUCCAAUAGGUUUUGAAUAGAGCCACAUGAAAUCCAUGACGUCUAGCAGCCUUGUCAAGGGCCAGGUCCUUGAUCGCCUUCUUAAUUUCUUCAUCAGAGAAGGGGGGCUCAAUCCACGCAGCUUUCUCUGCAGGAAGGGUUUUGAACUCAAUGUCUUCCAUAGAGGGUCUGGGUAGGUUAGGGUUAGAGUAAAGGUUACUGAAGUGAGAUAAAAUGGUCCCUUCAAUCUCACUUUCCGAAUCAAACAACACCUCUCCAACUUCGAUGGUUUGGAUUAGAUUAGUUCGGCGCCUAUUACUUGCUAUUCUAUGGAAGUACUAGGUAUUUAGGUCCCCUGACUUUAGCCAAGUGACUCUAGACCUUUGAUACCAAAAUAGUUCUUCCUUUUUGAGAGUGGUGAGGUAUUCUAUUUUGGUUUUUUGUCUGAGGUUGGCUUCGUCAUGGGACAAAUCUUUGGAUUCCUCAAUCUUAUCUAGGUUCUGGAUAAUCUCUAGCUGAGAUCUUUUUGACACUGAGAAGUUUCCUUGCAAGGAGGAUUUCCAUGAAAUAAUAGAUUUUUUGAGGAGCUGCAACUUUGCAACUUUUUCUGAAGCUUGAAACCAGCUCUGCCAGAGACUUGAUUUGAGAAAGCUUGCCACCAAGAAUCAAUGAGUGUUGUCAGCUCUUUUUCUAAGGUCCAAGCCAGUUCGAAACGAAAGGGUUUGGGUCCUCUAGGUCCAGAUUGGGUAUUGAGUAAGUAUGGGGCAAUGAUCUGAAAUGGGUUUAGGGAGAGUAAAGGCAUGAGACCUUGGAAAGUUUUCAUCCCAAAACGGGGAGAGUAAGAAUCCAUCCAAUUUAGAUAGAGUGGGUUGGGCUUCAUGGUCCGACCAAGUGAAUUGAUUCCCUAGAAGUGGGAUUCCAAUUAAUUCGAGUUUGGAAAUGAGGUCGGAGAAUUCAUACAUGGAUGUGGUGACUUGGGAAGAGGAGUUUCCUUCAAAAGGCCAUCUGGUGAUAUUGAAAUCACCCCCCAGACACCAGAGGGUGAGGAAGGUUGGCGAUAUCUUCAAUUUCUUCCCAAAAUUUUGGUCUUAGAGCUGACCUGUUGGGGCUGUACACAACAGUGAACUUCCACUUAAGGUGGUCAGUUCUCCUUGAGAGGAUGACACGUCCGAGGGAUAGAGAUGCUCGGGGUUAAUGGAGGGAAAAAGGUUGAUCAGUUCUCUAUAGCCAUUUUUCCUCCUCUGUCCAUUAUCCCCCGAGGUAGAAUCCAAAGAGAGGAGCAGCUGGUGGUGAGAAUCUGAGAAUUUAAAACCCAUAACUUUGAAGAAAAACUUGACCUUUUCUUUGGAUUGCUCAAAGCUGAUGUCAUCGAUGCUGUCUUGCCUGGCCAAUUCCUCUUCCCAGUCGUCGGUUGCUGCAGAUCCUUAGGUUUCGGUGGUGCGUUGAAGCAGGGGCAGGAGCCUUCGUAAAGGAGUAGAGGCAGGAGAGGCGGGGAAUAGUGUACAAAGCAGGUUGGGGGUUGGAGAGGUUAGGUGGUCCUUGAUACAGAGGUUUGGUUAAGCUAUCAGUCAUGAAACAUAAAGGUUCAUAAGGGGUAGGGGGAGGUGUAGUAGGGGAAGGUUGACGAAGUGGUGAAGGGUCAAAACAAGGUGGGGGAAAGACAAGGGGAAGAGGAGCACUAGAAGAGAAAGCCCUUGAUUCAAUAAUGUGGCCCACGAUGUAGGAGGGGUUAAGUGCUAGGUGGAACUGUGGAAGAUGCUUCUCAAUGAUGAGGAAGGCUGUACGAGGGAUAAGGGGGUGGCCAUGAAUGCGGCAGAAAGAAAUAAGGGAGGAGCUAACCUUGCAUAUAGGGGACUAUUCAGGGUGAAAAGGAAGGUAAUGGGACCGAUAAGCAGCUAUUGCCUCCAGGUUUAGCAGCGAAGGGCAAUAGGUGAGGAUCAUCAUGACUCCAAUUGGAUACUGGGACCAUUCCAUUUUCAGGGAUGCAGGAGGGGGCAAGGGGGAUAGGCGGGGGGUAGACAAGGAGUAGACGAACAGGUCAAGAAGGGGUUCAUGGAGGGGAAGGUUCAGAGCAAUAGAAGAGAGGUUAGCUGUUGGGUCACCUCUACCUUCAUCUGUAGCCUUUGUCGCUAAAAAGAGGUUCUUCUUUCCUGGGGAAGUUCUCUGCUUUGCCUCCUUAGAAGGAGAAAGGGAUACCUGAAGCUCUGAAAGGGUGGGGACAGUGGGGAAGGCUCACUGUGGAUAAACGAGGGAGGGGUGCAGUUGGGGGCGACAUCACUCGAUGGGAUGGUCUCCUUUAGAGAGGGGACAACAAUAGCUCCAAGGGGCUUUGGCAAGGCAGGGGAGGACUUCAAAAUCAGAGGGCCAGAGGGAGAUCUUUCAAGGAGGGGGAAGAGGAGUCAGAUAAGACUGUCUGACAAGAGUAGGGAGAGUACUUGAGGGGUAGGAGGUUACUUGCCAAGGGGUUAGAAUCAGUCGGUGAUGGGACAUUAGGAACCUUUACAGAGGUCACAGUAGAGGACACCUGUGAAUGGAGCAUGACAAGUGUCGAAGAGACCACGAGAUGGGAGGGGUCACCAUGAUGGCCAGGAGUGGGGUGAGUAGGGGAUUUCAACGGGUAGUUGGCUGUCGCAGACUCAUUGAGAGUGAGAUCUAACGGUUGGAUCUCACUGCAUCAUCAAGGUGGUUCGAACGGGCUCUAGGCAGGGGGGCAAUUGUUGAAGCCUGACUGAGUGGACACGUGUCGUGACCUUGUAGCGAGAGAUGGGCAUCUUGGGUUGAUCAUUCCCGGUGGCCUCCGUCUAUUUUUCCGGUGGACCACCAUCCACUGUUCCGUCAUCUUGUUGCCCUUCUGAGUAGGGAGGUCCCAAAAUGGCGACGACCAGCCAACGAGGAUUGGGUACCAAGAUUCCCCUACCUUGAUCCAGAUUUUUGAGGGUAGAGCUGAAGAAUUAAGAGUCUCCAGUAGAACUUGCGUUGAACCCAAUGGGAGAAAUUCAAGGGACUUCCAGUUGAUGGAAAUGAGCCUGUCACACUUUUGAGCAAGUUUUCUAAAAGUAAAGGGAGACCAUUGAUGCAGAGGAAUAUUUUUGCAGGUAACCCAGAAUUUGGAAGAGGCUGAGGAUCCUAGCUUGGGAGACCAAGGCUUUAGGGAAAGCUUGGCCCUUUUAAAGGUAAGAUUGGAUUGGUUUUCCACUGCUUUCUGUGUCAGAUUUAGGGAUGGGCAGGACAACAGAUCAUCCCCGUUGGACAAGUUCUUGCAUGUAACAUUAGGUUCUCCCCACAUAAUUUGUGCCCAUUUCUCAAUACCCCUAAUGUCGUUGCGUCGAGGGACAAGAACCCCUACUAGCGCCGCUUGCAACUUAGCAGAUAAAGGCUGAGAAACAGAGUCAGGGAUUUUGAACGGGGAGGUUUGGGUCCUCGGAAGGCAGUCUACCGUGGGCACAGCUGGGGGGGGGGGGGGGGGGGCGGGAGGGGAGGGGAAGAGGAUAGAUAUGAAAGGGGAAUGGGUAGGUUGGAAGUUACAAUCUUAGCGUAAGAUGCUGAGGUCUUUGGUUGGCUUUGAAGAACACGGGCAAAAGGUUUAGGGUGGGAGCUUUGAGAGGGAAAGCGAGGAUAAAGGUUUGUGUAUUGUCUCGCAGUCUGAGAAGAGGGUUCGAGAAGGUUCUUGGUUCCUGCGCUUGUCACCAGCAGAACUGGAGAACUUACGGAUAGUAUUUGUAUAGACUCCUCCUCCAUCUCAUGUGAACUCCGUUGAGGAAGACCCAAGUUGUUGUUUAAAGGUGUAGGGCCGAUUUGCAGAGUGAAUAGGUCGUCGAGAGAAGGUAGAGGCAGAGUUUCUUCCCGUCAUGUUGUCUGUGUCUGGGGCUUAUUGACGAACUUCUAAGGACCCAAAUGGCUUGACAGAGAAGGAGGGAGAGGGAGAGGGACUCUUCCAAUGUAAAGGGUACCGAGUUUUGGAAUUGUUUUUAAAGGUGAUUUCAGUCACUAAGCAUGUUGUUUUUAUCUUUCUUUUAUUAUUUCAGAUUAUAAAACGAUUAGCAAAGUCUCUUCAGUAUAUUCAUAGGGACUUACUCUCGCCUAUGUUUAGCACAACCUAAAAGAACAUAUACAAAACAUGGUGGAAAUUGCAAUCCGUUACUUGUUUUGAAUCAAGCAACAAACAUAAAUACUCUUAUGAAGUUCAGAAAUAAAUCACUAACUUCAUAACUUCUUUAAAUUGUUUUAAAACUUAACAAUUGGCUUAGAUCAAAGGUCAGUCAUCAAAGAAGCUAACAACUAACACUAACUGCUAAGCCUGAAAUGUAUAUCAGAGUUGAGCUCGCUUUUAUAUCUCUUGUUGCAAACCUGAUAUUUAGAAACCCAUUUAGGACUUAAUUUUGUUCUUAACAUCAUAAAAUGUUUGCAAUAGAUGCUUGCUUCCAUUUCCCAAUUCUAGAGAGGGAGCACAAUAACAUAAAAAGUAGAGCGAGAGUGUGAGGAGUGAGAGAGCAAUCAUAAAGAUCGGAGAGAAUGAACAAUGAAAAAAAGGAGAGAGAGAGAGCAAAAAAUAAAAAGUUUAGGUCAAAACAAGAUUUAAGGAAGCCAAUCCAAAAGAUAAAUACAAGAAAGAAGGGAGAGUACCAUUAAAUCACAUCGUUUUCCAGUACGGGGUCUAUGAGCAUCAUAAGUAUCAUAGAUAACCCUAGGCACCAUUUUUGGAAAAUUACUCCUUGCAUCUUCGAUUCAAAAUUGCAUCAUCUAGAUUAACCACAAAGAAACCCCAGGAAAAGUAAGUCAAUUUCAGUCAAUUUUGAUGAAGCCACGUUCUAGCUAUAGUGAAGGCAGUUGGAUGAAGGCAGUUGGAUGACUCGUCAACCGGUUACUGUUAGCUAUAGUGUUUGAUCAGGAGACUCAUAAAAAAUCUAUGAAUAGUAUUUUUAAUGGAAUAGUGUUUUUACUAUUCAUUACUAUUCUUAUGGACUCGUGUGCUGAAGUGUUUGCAGUCGAGUCGUCUAUCUCACGAUUAUAUUGGACCCUUCGAAAUUCUUGGAAGAGUUGGAAGUGUGGCAUACCGAUUGGCCCUACCACCCGAGUUGGUUAACAUUCAUGAUGUUUUUCAUGUAUCACUGUUGAGACAAUAUCAGCCUGACCCGUUUCAUGUUUUGAGGUAUGAACCAAUCUCAAUCAAAGAAGAUUUGACUUAUGUUGAGCAACUGAUUGAGAUAUUGGACAAGAGGGUGCAGGUUUUGCGCAACAAAGAAACCCCUCUCGUCCGUGUACUAUGAUAGUAUCAUUUAAGAGAAGAGUCAACAUGGGAACGAGAAGAUGAGAUCGAGGAUAAAUACCCCCAUCUAUUUGAUUAACUGACGAUUUUGAGGACAAAAUCCUUUUUAUUGGGGGAAUGAUGUAAGGACCUAAACUUUUCCUGAAUAGAAAGCUUGCGCAGCAGUAAAAAGCCAAUGGAAGAGGAGAAGAGAAGUUAUAUUGCCGUCUGUGUAGCUGCCAUUUGUGUAGCUGCCAUUUGUGUUCUGUAUAGCUGCCAUUAGCGUUAUCACCGUCUGUGUAGCUGCCAUUUGUGUUAUUGUCGUCUGUGUAGCUGCCAUUUGUGUUAUUGCCAUCGGUGUAGCUGCCAUUUGUGUUAUUGCCGUCUGUGUAGUUGCCAUUUGUUACUGCCGUCUGUGUAGUUGCCAUUCGUGUUUUUGCCGUCUGUGUAGCUGCUGCUGUGAGUGUAUGCCAUGUGGCCCAUGUAAGCCACUUGUGGGCCUUUAACAGCCGCUCGGACACCACAUACACAACACUUGUAACCCUUGUUGCUACUUGGCUUGUGCAUGCUGCCUCCUCUCCCCUUUCUUGCUUAUAAAUACCCCUUCAAACACUCCUCUCAAGAGUUUUCACACUCUCUCUCUCUCUAGAGCCCAACACUUAGAGCUCACUGUUACUCCAUUGAAGAACCAUUGUAAGAAGCUUGAAGGGGACUGUGAAAAGGGAGUUUUGGAGGCACAAUUGCACACUAGGUAAGUGGAUUAAUCCACCAUUGCAUCUAAACUUGUGAGGCAUGAAACUAAAAUAGUACAAGCAUGAAAGGGGUGAACGAAAGUGAUUGUGUAGUUGUGGUUUAUGCAUUGUUUCACAGAACUGAUGCCUCUGUUGCAUGAUGGGUUUUGAUGUUGCAAAUGACUCUAUUGCUCAUAAAAAUAUGUAGAAAAAUGUGUAUAUAUGUCUAAAUUAAAAUGAAAAAGAUUUUAUGAUGUUAUCUACUGUGAAUUGAUAGUUAUUUAGCAUUCUUUGAGGCAUGCCAUGUGCACACUGUGAAUUUCCAGGAAUGUGCAUGUUGUUGUAACAAGCUUUUGAAUAGCCAAAUGAGGUUCAAAUGACUUCAAAUUACUACUAUUAGAAAGAUAUAGGUGUCUACUUUGAUGUGCUUGUUUAAACCUUGUUAAGACUCUUUAUAAAUGAGGGGUUAUGCUUCUAAUUGUGCAAGCAUGUCACUGUUAACAGUUUUCUCUGAAAUUUAACUGUCACCUCUGUUGACAUGAGUUUUGACUAACCAAAUGAAGUCCAAUUGCUCUCAAACCACUGCCAUUUGAAAGAUCUCUGCAUGUGCUUAAAGUUGUAUGUUGAAAAUAUUUCGAAAUUCCUCCUAGAUUGAAAGUUAUGCUUUAAAUUGUGAGAGCAUGUCACUGCUAGCAGAUUUCACCAAAUUCCAAAACUAUCACUUCUGUUGUCACGAACUUUUGAAUGGCCAAAUGGAGUCCAAAUGCUUUCAAACUGUUCUUGUUGGAAAGAUACAUGUUUUCACUUGAACUUUGGUUUUGAAACUAUUUUGAAAUGCCUUAGGGAUUGAAAGUUAUGCCCUUGGUAAGUAGGACAUAUCACUGUCACAAAUGUAUAGCAGACUUCAGAUACUAUACUUCCACUGUAUUGAUCUUUUGAUUGGUCAAACGGGCUCCAAACGCUUUCAAACCACCCCCAUUUGAAAGAUAUGCGUGUUUUGCCAUUCCCGAAUUUUGAAUAGAUUGAAAGUUACGUCCUGGUUUAUGACAGUAUGCCACUGUGAGAAAUUGUAGCAAGUUUGGAACUGAACCCCUCUUGGUACUGUUAUACUGUGAAACACUGUGAUAUUGUUAUACUGUGAUACUGAUCACUACGCAAUGGGACAUCCAUUUGUAGUGGGUACUGUUAUACUGUCAAAUACUGUGAUACUGCUAUGCUGCGAUAUACUGUGGCACUGACCACUACGCAAUGGGGCACCCAUUGGUAGUUGGAUACUAUUGUGCCAGCAAUUACUGACUAUACCUCGACCCCAAUGAUAGGACUAGGGUUGGGAGGUGAAACUAAGUAAUAGGGAGGGUUGCGCCCCCCCACUACGAAUUAGGACACACCCAAUGGUAGUGUAACGCCCUCUCGCCAGAAGGGCAUAAGGAGAGGGUCGUGUUUUGCAAAGCCAUUGUCUAUCAAAUACCUCAAAGCGCGUUGGGGAGUGUGUGUGAGGACUGUACGAAGUGGAUCACCCACUUGUCAUUGUCCUCCCUCCUGAUCGAGGGUAGAGGUUCCAAGCUACAGAAUUGGCUUGGCCUAAUCAAUAGAAUUUCUAAUUCGGGAGUAGGCAACUCUUGUGUGCAUUUGUGAUAUGUUGGUGUUUCCGUUCUGCUAAAGGUGAAAUGACUGAUGAUUUAUGCACUGUAUGAUAUUUCGACAACUGAAACGUAUCCAUUCUUGUACUGGUAAAAUACUGAAAGGCAUGGAUAGAGAUAACUUAGUGAUGCCUGUGUGAAUGUUGAAUACUUGCCUACUGCUAUUAUCAAUUAUAGGUCAGGAUGCAAUGGUGUGGAUCUACUUACUGGGCUUUGAGCUCAUUCCUUUCAUUUCCAUUGAUGUGGGGUGUUAGUCUCUGAUCUGAGAAAGAGGGCAGCUGAUCGGUGCAUUGGACGGGUAAAGCGUGGAGCGUGGCUUAAAGGGAUUCUAAGAAGCUUUCCAUAGUAGGUGUCUGGUGGCAGCGACACUGAGAUGUGUGGUUGAUCUUGUAAUUUGUGGGCCAUUAGUGCCUUGAACUAUGUGAAAUGAAAAUUUGGAGGAUGGUUGUAUAUGAAAAUGACUCAGCAUUUUAUUUCUUUUGUGGUUUGCUCUUGAUUCCACCUUUUAUAUGCGUUGAGCCACUCCCACUUGAGCGGCGUUCGAGACCUCCGGUCGUGACCCCACACUCUGUUGCCCUCCGGCGUGG
rnacentral:lncRNA from 1 species